CCUUAUCUGCUCUCGAGAGCUGUGACUCUUCAUCCUUUCCUUAUGAAGACCCAGGGGAUUGCUUACUUAGCAUCCACCAGAGGCAAUGGAUAGGGUGAGCAGUCACUGCAGCCAGAAAAGCCCAGCACGGAGCAAAGGCAAUUACCUCCGCACGCAGAGACUUUGGAGCUGAAUUGUGCUGAACGGAGAACCCCUCCAGCUGGCAGAGCCAUGUGCGGCCGAGAAGAGCAGCCACUUUCGCUCCGCUGAAAAGCAAUGCAGGAACCCUCGUGGUGUACGGUGCUGCUGGGUGCAAUCAUUAAGGCAAUGAGCAAACGCUCUCCACUUGUUGUCCAACUUUGAAGACGGGCAGAUCUACAAGGCAGGUCCCCAGAAGCUCUGUUCCUAAAGCAGAAGUGCAAUAGUGCUCAAGGAGGAUUAAAGGACUAGGAUCGAGUACUUCCUAAAUACUGCUGCCUGCCCCUGUUCUAAACAACAGCUCAAAAAUAACAUACUUGCCUCUUCCGAGGGCUGUUCAAGAAGUAUAGACUCUGUCACACCAUUACAAUGCUUGGGAUUCUCAUCUCUGUGUUUGCCACGGGGAUUUUCUGGAAAGAAGCAGAUUCUCCAGUUCAGAAAACAACUGAUGCCACUUCAUAUCAUUUUUAUCAUUGAGCCACAUCUCAGAAAUGACCUUUUUAAGAGUUGUCUGAAGAAUGGGAACAGGUUGGUACUCACAUUCUAGCAAGUAGAAAGAAAAAUCUAACCCAAAAUGCUCCUAGCAUCCUACUUUGGGUCUUGAUUCCAAAUCAGCAGACAGCAAUGAGGAGACUGGAUCAGAACUCAGCAGACUUCCAUUUAAGGCAGAUAAGAAUGCUGUUAGUAAUCAACAACUACUUACAUUUGCAAAACUUAUCCUUUUGUGGAGCAAAAGAUAAAAAGGAGCACAAACAAACCUGACCUUGCAAUCACUCACCUUUGUGAGCAAUCUUCUCUUUUGCAAAUAGGCUGCCUCUCAUCAGUGCCUUUAUUUGCUUAAGUCCUUGCAGAUACAUUAAAGAUUUAUAGUAGAGCUGUUACAGGCAAUGAAGGAAGUUAUAUGUCACCCUUUUGUUUUCUAAUAGUGGUUUGAUUUAAACUAUGGGGAACAAAGGAAGUAAUAUUUUAAAAGAGGAAUGAAAACAUAAUGCAGCCACAAAUAAAGUCUGGUCAUACAUGGAACUUAAGCAGAUAAAAUGACUUUUGUCAUGAAGAAACACUGUGCCUCAGUAGUAUUUUGUAUCAGUGCUUCCCAGACUAGGAUUGGUUUAAACUGUCCUUAAGACACCCUCAGAUCUCCAAAUGUAGCUGGAGCAAACCAGAAAAUGGGUAAAAUAACAAGCAUCUCUGAACAAAAUGGAAACAAAGAAAACCAGUAAAUUAAGAUUUGGAAAGGAAAUGAAAGCAGCAUAUCCUCCGCAAAGUUUCUUUAAGCAGCAUUCAGUACGAAUGCUUUUAUUACCUUUAAUCUGAGAGGAAAAUAAGCAAUGGGUCACCUCAGUGGGUCCCAGAUGGAUAUACCU
ensembl:lncRNA